AUUGAACGCUGGCGGCAUGCCUUACACAUGCAAGUCGAACGGCAGCACGGGAGCAAUCCUGGUGGCGAGUGGCGAACGGGUGAGUAAUAUAUCGGAACGUGCCCAGUCGUGGGGGAUAACGCAGCGAAAGCUGCGCUAAUACCGCAUACGCCCUGAGGGGGAAACGGGGGACCUAAGGCCUCGCGCGAUUAGAGCGGCCGAUAUCUGAUUAGCUUGUUGUGGGGUAAAGCCACCAAGGCGACGAUCAGUAGCUGGUCUGAGAGGACGAUCAGCCACACUGGGACUGAGACACGGCCCAGACUCCUACGGAGGCAGCAGUGGGGAAUUUUGGGACAAUGGGGGCAACCCUGAUCCAGCAAUGCCGCGUGAGUGAAGAAGGCC
rnacentral:rRNA from 1 species